GAUGAAGAACGCAGCGAAAUGCGAUAAGUAAUGUGAAUUGCAGAAUUCCGUGAAUCAUCGAGUCUUUGAACGCACAUUGCGCCCCCUGGUAUUCCGGGGGGCAUGCCUGUCCGAGCGUCAUUGCUGCCCUCAAGCACGGCUUGUGUGUUGGGCCCCGCCCCCCGGCUCCCGGGGGGCGGGCCCGAAAGGCAGCGGCGGCACCGCGUCCGGUCCUCGAGCGUAUGGGGCUUCGUCACCCGCUCCGUAGGCCCGGCCGGCGCCCGCCGGCGACCCCCCUCAAUCUUUUCAGGUUGACCUCAAAUCAGGUAGGAUUACCCGCUGAACUUAAGCAUAUCAAUAAGCGGAGGA
rnacentral:misc_RNA from 1 species